UACAGAGGUCUCAAGCGUUGUUCGGAUUCAUUGGGCGUAAAGGGUGCGUAGGCGGCGCGGUAAGUCGGGUGUGAAAUCUCGGAGCUUAACUCCGAAACUGCAUUCGAUACUGCCGUGCUUGAGGACUGGAGAGGAGACUGGAAUUUACGGUGUAGCGGUGAAAUGCGUAGAUAUCGUAAGGAAGACCAGUGGCGAAGGCGGGUCUCUGGACAGUUCCUGACACUGAGGCACGAAGGCCAGGGGGAGCAAAACGGGG
rnacentral:rRNA from 1 species